AAGUCGUAACAAGGUUUCCGUAGGUGAACCUGCGGAAGGAUCAUUAACAAACAGCGAGCAAAAAGCGAAGCACGAUGUGUCAUGAAGUGUGCUGAUGGUGUCCCGGUGGGGAGUGGGAGCGCAGCAUGAACAAACGAUUGUCAGAUAGAAUAAGUGCGUAUAACGACAACAACUUUUAACAAUGGAUCUCUUGGCUCUU
rnacentral:misc_RNA from 1 species